rnacentral:rRNA from 2 species
UACGAAGGGGACUAGCGUUGUUCGGAAUUACUGGGCGUAAAGCGCGCGUAGGCGGAUCGCUAAGUCAGGGGUGAAAUCCCAGGGCUCAACCCUGGAACUGCCUUUGAUACUGACGAUCUGGAGAUCGGGAGAGGUUGGUGGAAUUCCGAGUGUAGAGGUGAAAUUCGUAGAUAUUCGGAGGAACACCAGAAGCGAAGGCGGCCAACUGGCCCGAUACUGACGCUGAGGCGCGAAAGCGUGGGGAGCAAACAGG